GUCGGAUCCUGCCCGUGCAGCGACGAUUAUUCAUGCGUUCCUCUUCAAGUCUAGGCACAAGUGCUAUCUAGCCUUGGCCGAAACUCGGGUUUCCUGUAUUGCAUACCUACUUGAUGGAAUUUCUAGUCGCCUAUCGAACGGUCGCCUAAUGCCAUCCUAGUCGGUGGUUGCGGGUGAUCCACAAAGCGAGAUUUGCGAUCCUCAAUGCAGAGUACUCGUACCCAUUGCUAUUGAGGCCCGCAUUUCUUCGCUCGGACUGAGGGAUUUGGUGCAUGCAGUGGGCAUUGGUUCUCUCGUAGAACCUCUUUUUGCCACAAAAUCGAAAACAAUCCGAACGACGUUCGAUGGUGUGCUGGCCCUGUGCCACGCACCUCGAUGUCCGCGAGGAAUGCUACCU
rnacentral:misc_RNA from 1 species